CCUGAUUUGUGAUUUUGCUUUUUUUUUUUUUUUUCCUGUUUGUCUAUGGGGGAAAGCAUUUGCAGUUUUUCUAUUUAUAACUAUUUUUAUGUGAUUGCUUUAUGUACAAAACAAUGGGGGAAAAAAAAGAAAAAAAAGAAAAAAAAAAAGGGAGAGAGAAACACACACACCAAUAAAUUUGCCUUAGUUACUCACGGGACAAUCACCCUUAACUUUCAUUGAAGCUAGAAAGCGAAUGAAAAUUUUUAAAAAAAGAAAGAAUUUUACGUAUUUAUUAAACUCUAUGAAUUGAUGCUGUUAAAUUAUUAGCAGGACUUGGUGCUCUUGCCUGUGGCCACGCUGAGGAAGCUGAGCUGCCCCCCACCCUCGGCUCCACCUGUACAUAGUUUUGGAAAUCCAGAGCGACCACACGUUCUGCAGCACCCCACUGGAUGGGGAUGCUGGCAUGGCAAUGCUGAUGGCCACUAAUGAGUUAAGGUUGAUUCUCCCGCGUUGCGCUGGGUUGGGUUGUACAGAGAUGGGUGCGCGUUUUGGGGCAGGUGGGUGGAGGAGAGCAAACCCUAUGGUGGUGGCACACGGUGACUCCAGGCCACAGGUAUUUUGGUGGGUGGGGCUGACAUCCCAUCCCAGCAGCAGAGCACUGUGGAAGGUGCUCAGAGAGCUGCGGGUGCCACAUCCCUGGAGGUGCUCGAGGCCACGUUGGAUGGGCUUUAACAUCCCUUCUGAACCAACUAUUCCGUGGUUCUAUGGUUCUGUAAUCUUUGAGGUCCCUUCCAGCCCAAGCCAGGCUGUGGUUCUGUGAGUCAAUGCUGUGGGGCUCUGUGCAGCUUAUGGGGUGGUGGUCCUUGGUCAUCUUACCCCAUGUCCUGUGGUUCAGCUGUGGCAGGCCCCGACAGCGGACACCAUUGUGAUCCCAUCAUUCACACUGCAGCUAAGAAGUUGCAGAAUUUCCACGUUAUUUUAAUGCUAUUUUUUAAAAGAGGUGUAGGAGCCUGGAGGGCAGGUUGUGGGUGUCAGCAGUGGGACCCACUCCGUGUCAUUCAAAUUCCACACUAGAGAAUAGGCACCCUGUGCCUAUUGAGACACCCCCGUGCUGAACGCUCAGCUUUAGGUGUCCUCAUCUUUAGGCACCUGGUUAGUGGGCAUGGUGGGGAUGGGUUGGACUGGAUGAUCUCAAAGGCCUUUUCCAAACUGAGUGAUUCCACGACUGUGCCUGCCAAGUGAUUUCCAUCCAUUGGUUGCAUGGAAGCAGGCAAGAGAGUGAUUCCCCUGUUCAAGUUGGGGAUGGACCACCUUCAGCAUCAUUAUGGUGGUCUCUCUUCCAUCUACUCAUGCGGUUUGGAAAUCUAGCUUGGUCUCACUGCCCUACUUUUGCAGCGAGUUAUGGUGAAGCUUCUCACCACCACUGACAUUGCUGGUGUUCGGGCAGCCAGAUGUUGUCCAGCCCAUCCGGGGCAGGCCAGACAAACCCUACCACCUCCGCAAAGAGAGGUACAGUGCUAAGAGAGCUCUGGUCUCCCAAAUCUGGCUUCGCAGCUCACGUGGUGCUGAGCAUCCUUGUCAGCGCCUUCACCUUGGGGAGCGAGGUUUUCAUUUUAUAUUUUAAAUCUUGUGGCUUUCAACCUGAUCUUAUAUUCUGAUUUACUUAUAAUGUCAAAAAAAAAAAAAAAAAAAAAGGGAAAAAAAAAAGAAAAAAAGAAAAAAAAGAAAAAAAAAGGACUUGCAAGGGGAGGGUGAAAUGAAUAUGUGAAAAUCGCUCGGAGGAGCCGUGUGCUAAUCGGGCACAUGGGAAUGACGGGAAGAAAACCAGCUUUGGGAGAUGCUUGUUAGCAGCAACAUAUGGCUACACUCUGCUCUCGAGCAGCUGCUGUCAUCUGCUGGAGCACCCAGAGCAAAAAGGAAAAGAAAAAGAAAGGAAGGAAGCUUGCACUUUGGGCAGCAAGAGGCAAAUAUAGGGAGACCUUUUUGUUGUCGGGAAUGCCUCGUGAUUGGGUUCGUGGGGAGCUGUGCCACCCCGCUGGCUGUAGGGAACAUACCUGUGGCGUGGAAAUGCCUUUUUGUUCAUUGUUCUCUUGUGUCGAACUGGUGUUUCACACGACUUGCACUAUGGGCUGUAGGCAGAAUGCUGUCAGAUCUCUUGUUCCCCUCUCUCGUUUGGUCGCGACUCCCCUUGGCUAAUGAAGCGGCUGUCCUAUAGGUGUCCCUGUUGCACAUUUUACACCCCUGGAGGAAAAUAAAGUGUUACCGAAG
ensembl:lncRNA